AGUGAACGCUGGCGGUAGGCCUAACACAUGCAAGUCGAACGGCAGCACAGUAAGAGCUUGCUCUUACGGGUGGCGAGUGGCGGACGGGUGAGGAAUACAUCGGAAUCUACUUUUUCGUGGGGGAUAACGUAGGGAAACUUACGCUAAUACCGCAUACGACCUACGGGUGAAAGCAGGGGAUCUUCGGACCUUGCGCGAUUGAAUGAGCCGAUGUCGGAUUAGCUAGUUGGCGGGGUAAAGGCCCACCAAGGCGACGAUCCGUAGCUGGCCUGAGAGGAUGAUCGGCCACACUGGAACUGAGACACGGUCCAGACUCCUACGGGAGGCAGCAGUGGGGAAUAUUCGACAAUGGGCGCAAGCCUGAUCCAGCAAUACCGCGUGAGUGAAGAAGGCCUUCGGGUUGUAAAGCCCUUUUGUUGGGAAAGAAAAGCAGCAGGUUAAUACCCCGCUGUUCUGACGGUACCCAAAGAAUAAGCACCGGCUAACCUCGUG
rnacentral:rRNA from 1 species